AUGGCUAAAACAUGCAGUCGAACGAUUAAGCCCCUUCGGGGGCAGAAAGUGGCGAAAGGGCGAGUAAUACGUGUCCUAUGUACCCCGAGGUCGAGGAUAGCCAGAGGAAACUCUGAUUAAGACUCGAUGUGGUCCUCGGAUCAAAGCUCCGGCGCCUUGGGAGCAGGGAACGACCUACCAGGUUGUUGGUGAGGUAACGGCUCACCAAGCCGAAGACGGGUAGCGGGUGUGAGAGCAUGACCCGCCGCAUCGGGACUGAGACACUGCCCGGACUCCUACGGGAGGCUGCAGUAACGAAUCUUCCGCAAUGCGCGAAAGCGUGACGGAGCAAUGCCGCGUGCGGGAUGAAGCCCCUCGGGGUGUAAACCGCUGUCAGGUGUUAGUAAGCAAGUGAACAGCACCAAAGGAAGGGCCGGCUAACUUCGUGCCAGCAGCCGCGGUAAUACGAGGGCCGAGCGUAAACGGAAUCACUGGGCUUAAGCGUACGUAGCGGUGUGUAAGCAUUGUGAAUCCACGGCUCAACCGUGGAAUGCAGU
rnacentral:rRNA from 1 species